GCUGGGCGUGGUGGCACACACCUGUAAUCCCAGCAGCUCUGGAGGCCGAGGCAGGAGGAUUGCAAGUUAAAUGUCAGCUUCAGCAAUAGUGAGGUGCUAAGCAACUCAGUGAGAUCCUAUCUCUA
rnacentral:sRNA from 1 species